UUGCCUAUAACAUUUACAAGGGUAUCUGUGU
rnacentral:piRNA from 1 species